rnacentral:rRNA from 1 species
UGACCUCAAAUCGGGUGAAACUACCCGCUGAACUUAA